rnacentral:rRNA from 1 species
GACGAACGCUGGCGGCGUGCCUAAUACAUGCAAGUCGAGCGGAUUAGAUAGAAAGCUUGCUUUCAAUCUGGUUAGCGGCGGACGGGUGAGUAACACGUAGGCAACCUGCCUGUAAGACUGGGAUAACAUCCGGAAACGAAUGCUAAUACCAGAUACGCGAUUUCCUCGCAUGGGGAGAUCGGGAAAGACGGAGCAAUCUGUCACUUGCAGAUGGGCCUGCGGCGCAUUAGCUAGUUGGUGGGGUAACGGCCUACCAAGGCGACGAUGCGUAGCAGACCUGAGAGGGUGAUCGGCCACACUGGGACUGAGACACGGCCCAGACUCCUACGGGAGGCAGCAGUAGGGAAUCUUCCGCAAUGGACGAAAGUCUGACGGAGCAACGCCGCGUGAGUGAUGAAGGCUUUCGGGUCGUAAAGCUCUGUUGCCAGGGAAGAACACUUGGGAGAGUAACUGCUCUUAAGGUGACGGUACCUGAGAAGAAAGCCCCGGCUAACUACGUGCCAGCCGCCGCAGUAAAAC